AGUGGAUGGGGAGCAACCUAUGUUGUGCGUGUGUAAAGGUAGUGCCAAGAAAAGCGAUGAUCAUGUUGAAAAUCAAUUCCCGGUACCCGAAACCGACACAGGUGGGCAAGUAGAGGAUACUAAGGGGCGCGAGGUAACUCUCUCCAAGGAACUCGGCAAAAUGACCCCGUAACUUAGGGAGAAGGGGUGCCACCGAGAGGUGGUCGCAGUGAAGAGGCCCAGGCGACUGUUUAGCAAAAACAUAGGUCUCUGCAAACUCGAAGAGGAGGUAUAGGGGCUGACGCCUGCCCAGUGCCGGAAGGUUAAAGAAGUUGGUCAGUUUUAGGAUGAAGCUAGCGACUGAAGCCCCGGUGAACGGCGGCCGUAACUAUAACGGUCCUAAGGUAGCGAAAUUCCUUGUCGGGUAAGUUCCGACCCACACGAAAGGCGUAACGAUCUGGGCGCUGUCUCGGAGAGAGGCUCGGCGAAAUAGGAUUGUCUGUGAAGAUACGGACUACCUGCAUUUGGACAGAAAGACCCUAUGAAGCUUUACUAUAGCUUGGAAUUGUGUUCGGGCUUCCUGUGCGCAGGAUAGGUGGGAGGCGUAGAAGGUAUUCUUGUGGGGAUACUGGAGCCAACGGUGAGAUACCACUCUCAGGAGGCUAGAAUUCUAACUUAAUUAAGGACAGUUUCAGGUGGGUAGUUUGACUGGGGCGGUCGCCUCCAAAAAGGUAACGGAGGCGUACAAAGGUUCCCUCAGACUGGUUGGAAAUCAGUCGAAGAGUGCAAAGGCAGAAGGGAGCUUGACUGCGAGAAGUACAGUUCGAGCAGGGUGGAAACACGGUCUUAGUGAUUCGACGGUGCUGUGUGGAAGGGCCGUCGCUCAACGGAUAAAAGUUACUCUAGGAUAACAGGCUGAUCUCCCCCAAGAGUUCACAUCGACGGGGAGGUUUGGCACCUCGAUGUCGGCUCAUCGCAACCUGGGGCGGAAGUACGUCCCAAGGGUUGGGCUGUUCGCCCAUUAAAGCGGUACGUGAGCUGGGUUCAGAACGUCGUGAGACAGUUCGGUCCAUAUCCGAUGUAGGCGUGAGAAUAUUGAGAGGAGCCUUCCUUAGUACGAGAGGACCGGGAAGGACGCACCGCUGGUGUACCUGUUAUGAUGCCAAUUGUAAACGCAGGGUAGCCAAGUGCGGAGAGGAUAACCGCUGAAAGCAUCUAAGUGGGAAGCCCACCUCAAGAUGAGUAUUCUGGUGUAAGGUCACGGGAAGACGACCCGUAAAUAGGCACGAGGUGGAAGUGCAGAGAUGUAUGAAGCCGAAGUGUACUAAUAGACCGUCGGCUUGAAC
rnacentral:rRNA from 1 species